rnacentral:rRNA from 1 species
GACGAACGCUGGCGGCGUGCCUAAUACAUGCAAGUCGAGCGGACGAAUCGAAAGCUUGCUUUUGAUUCGUUAGCGGCGGACGGGUGAGUAACACGUGGGCAACCUGCCCUGUAGACGGGGAUAACACCGAGAAAUCGGUGCUAAUACCGGAUAACACGAAAUGUCGCAUGACGUUUCGUUGAAAGACGGCGCAAGCUGCCGCUACAGGAUGGGCCCGCGGCGCAUUAGCUAGUUGGUGAGGUAACGGCUCACCAAGGCGACGAUACGUAGCCGACCUGAGAGGGGGAGCGGCCACGCGGGGACUGGAACCCGGCCCAAGCCCCUAGGGGGGGCAGAGGUAGGGAAUUUUCCGCAAGGGGGGAAGGUCGGACGGGGAAACGCCGCGGGAGGGAAGAAGGCCUUCGGGUGGUAAAGCUCUUUUGUUGGGAAAAAAAAAGUAACGCAGUAACGGGCGUUCCCGGGACGGUACCUAACAAAAAAGCCACGGCAACCUACGU